UUAAAAUAAUAAGAGGAGCAGCCUCAGAAGGUUAUAAAAGGAUGCACAAAAAGGGUUUGAGGUAGAUGCCGGAUUAUAUGUGCGCUGUUCAGACCUGAAACAGGCGGCCGCAGUCUGUAAACAUGGAUCCCGCAGCUCAGACGCUGAACGCCAACGCAGCCUUCAACAGAGAGGCCUUCCCCAGGAGAGUCAUGAGAGCGGCACCCAGGGGAGCCUCGUCUCACUUUGUGGGGACUUCGAUUGUGAUCCUGUCUUCAUUUGCCGUCUCCACCUUAGCGAUGAACUGUGGGAAGAGGAUCCAGGAGUCGAGACAAAAACCUCAUGGAAGCUAAAACACCUGGAUUGAUGAAUAUAUGCCUUCAAUAGCUACCACGAGUUAAGAGUUCUUACAAUUAAGGUUUUCUUUUAAUUUUUUUUUUUUUGCAAAGCAAUAUUUUCUGGCUCUUGUGGUCAGCUUUCUCAUGUUCUUGUACCAUAAAGUGUGGUUGUAUAUUUAGCAUGAGGCAUCUUAACGAAGAGUCUGAGGAACCAGAAGGAUGUGAGACCGCCAGUGGAUGACUUUGAGACUCCUCUGGCUUCCACCAAUGUGUGUUUUGUUGAACUGGUGCUGAUUUCAGAAAGGUGGAAAAAAAUAUGCAGUAAUAUCAAGAAGCCUCUUCCAAAAUGUUACCUCAAAUUUGUUUUCAUGCUGAUGAAAACAACAUGUAAAACUAGAAAAAAAAAAAGAUGGGUCUGCUCAGAGUGCAGAAAGGUGCAAAUGUUAGAAUGUGUGGCCUUCAGAAAGAAAGACAGCAUGUAAUACAUCUUUAGAAUCUGUUUGGAUCUGAAUAAUCUUAUACACCUUCAGAUGCACUUUAUAUGUUUUAUUAACAGAAAAUCCUCUUGAGUGGACAUUUAAUAUUUGACUUUAAUCGUUUUGUAGAAUCACAUUCAACAUGAUCUUUAUGACUUUGUAUUUCAGCUGUCUUCUCCCUAAGAAGGAAAGUGUUAGAGGUAUGAUCUAUUAAAAGACCUGCAAGCUGU